rnacentral:rRNA from 1 species
GAAAGGAGUAAGGCCCCACAAAGACUAUGUGGUUGAUAGGUCAGAGAUGUAAGUGCAGUAAUGCAUUCAGUCGACUGAUACUAAUAGGCCGAGGGCUUGACCUAA